UGUUUCAAAUUUAGAACGUGUUUUCCACAAUGACAACGUCAUAAAUGCUGUUGAGAUUCCCAGGCCGGCUCCUAGAAACCCUUAAUAGUAGAAAACAAUAGGAGGAAACACCAGUAAUUCGACAGAACAGAAUACAAUUGCUUUUUUAAAAGUUAUUUUGAUCCCUGGUGGUCAAAUGAAAAACAUGAUCAUGGGAGGCCAUGGAAGGUGAGCCGUUGAUAUUCCGAAGGGAAGCCAGGAUCCGUCCAAGGGCUUUCGAGAUAAAAGCAGAAGCAAAGGCCACGUGGGGGAGAUGAUACAUCACAACAUGCAGGCAGCAUGGCCCUGAGUCACCACGUGGAGGCAAGCCUCAAGAGGACUCCAGUUCCCAGUGGACAUUGCACGAGCAAGCAGGAAACCUCUUCUGUGAGCCCCUGAGGUUCAGGGUUUUUUUUUUUUAGUACCAUGGCUAGUGUGACGUAUCCUGACUAAUGCCGACAGCACACGGAGCCUCUGCCUGCCAGAGGAAGCGGUGAGGAAGAGGUGGUGCGUCGUGUACUUCCCGUUGCUGUUUUAGGACAGCUUGGACAUAGUUUGUUCCAGGGUGCUGCUGAACCAGGUAAACCCAGCCCCCCAUCUCCAAGAGCAGAGGCUGCAAGGACAGCGAGACAAUGAGGCAAUGGCGUGCUGGGGGGAGUCGUGCUAAAGUGAAAGCAUCCUUCGAUCAUUUUUAAGUCAUUCUAGGAUCUUCAGGGCAUCAAAGUUUUGCCUGUGAGCCUCAAUCGGUCUAAUACAAAAAAUACAGACUGUGGUUAAUCAUCUGAGCUUUGAGAUCCUGUGAGACUGUAAUCCUGCCUUGGUUCUGCCACUUACUGCUGGUGAAGGAAAAAUUAAUCUUUCCAAACAGCUUGCAAGACAGAAAUCAUGCUUUCUACCUCCCAAAGCUGCUGUGGGCAUGAAACAGCCCAUGUGCAUGAGGUGCCCAGCAUCAUGCCUGGAAAUCACACACAAUCACAGAAUCAUGGGGCCAGAGGAGGCCUUGAAGUUUUAUCUGAUUUGCUCCUCCCAUGAGAUGCUUCAAUUGUGCAACUUCUCCUCAAUGGCACCUGUAAAGAAAUGGGUUCUCCCGCUCUUGUUCUC